AAAGUCUGAAAUAAAGUGAAUAAUCCAUAAUAAUUGCGAUGUCUAAAUAACAUUCCAGAACUGAAGUCACAAGUGCACGAGCUUCUAGAAUAAUACAAAUAAGGGUCUAAAUAAAAUAUAGAUGUCUGAAAGAAAACACACAGCUAAAAUAAAGUAUAAGGGGACUUCAGAACUGCGAACACUGUGCAGUUAUACCUCAAGUCUCCUCUGGGUAGCUGAAAUCCGAGCAAUCCUACAGUACGCUGCUGGACCAACUCCAAAAUCUGCAUAAGAAGUGUAGAGUGUAGUAUGAGUACAACCGACCCCAUGUACUCUGAUUUGUCUUCCAUAAAUUCAUAGAUUCAUUAUGUAAAUGAGUAUGGAAUCACGGAAUAUAAUCAAUAUAGGAUAAGGAACACUUACCCUAAUGAAUUUCUUGAAAACCUACGAAACAUCGUCACAAACCGAGCUCCCAAAGUCCAAAAUAUGAAAUAAUACCCAAACCCUCUGUUAUAUAGUACACAAUUCUGAUUUCCCAAUGUGCGGUCCGCACAUUUUCAAGUGCUGCCGCACAUUUUCAAGUUUUGCUGCCGCAAUUGUGCGGCCGCACUUCAUUGUGACAGCUUACCAGGCUUAAGUAAAAUGCUCAUAACUUUCUGUACAAAUAUUCAAAUGAUUAAUACUAU
rnacentral:lncRNA from 1 species